rnacentral:rRNA from 1 species
AUGGAGAAGAAAGGCACGAUCGCACGUCGCUCGCUCGCAGGUACACCGCGCGCCGGCCCUAGUGGAGAAGGAUCGCUGGAGACGCUGCCGGACGACGUGGUGGUGGAGAUCCUGGUGCGCGUGCCGGAUGUGGCAGACCUCUUCCGCUGCGCCGCGACGUGCAAGCGAUGCCGCCUCCUCAUCGCCGAGCCGUCUUUCCUCCGCCGCCGCUGGCCGGAGGGCGUGAGCCACCUGUCCUCCCUGCUCGGCCUCUUCGCCGUGCAACAGCCCCGUGAAGAACCAACAGAAGGGGACUCUACGGCUGCGCCCAUGCCGCCCUUCACCCCGGUGCCAUGGUGCUCCCUCGGAGAACGCUACAGCUUCCUCACAUGCCCUUGGCCUCCAGACAGCCAGGCAGCGGUGCUCACCUCGCGCCGUGGCCUUCUUGUUCUGCGCUUCGUCCCACUAAACGAACCCACCAAUGGAUACGAGAAGACCAUGAACCUGGCAUUGUACGAUCCAAUCGCCGGCAAAGGCCGUGACCUGCCUGAGUUGAAGAGCGACAGACCUUUCCAAAUAGAAGGAUGCGCCCUUCUGACCCGUGCCGAUUGUUGCCCGGACGAAACGCGAGGGGCGACGUCGUGGUCCUUCUUCAAAGUGCUAAUCAUCGGCGGCGAUCGAGAUGAGCCACGGCACAGUCUCCAUGUGUUCACUUCCACGACGGAGUCGAGCUCGAGCUGGAGCACGCCUAGGGAGUGCUAUGACUCUUUGGAGGAUGACGACACGCGUGUCGUGUCUCAGCAGACCACCGCUGUCGUGUGCCACGGUGGCAUUGCGCAUUGGCUCUUCAAGAAUGCGUCCAACUUGUACGCACUCAGUGUGUGCGCUAGGACCACAGAGAUGACCUUGACAAGGCUCCCAGUCACACCGGACCAAACUCAGCCACUGCUUGGAGUCAACAAUGAUGGGACGCCAUGCUUGCUUCGCUUGGACGGGAAAUGCUUCAUGCUAGAGAUCUGGACACGCCGGAUUGACCCCAUGAGUGGAGACAGCAACACAGGGCACUGGCAUCGCACCAAGAUGAUCAAGUUACAACGACCCAAGCGUGGCAAGAUCGACCAGGCGCAGUGCGUGUGUGUGGGUCAGACGAGUGGCAUACUGCUCGUCAAGGACAAUCAAGAAGACAUGUACAUUGUAGAUCUCCAAACAGGGGCAAUGCAGGCGGUCACCAACUGGUUCCGCGGCAUUGUCGUGAUGGCCAUCCCUUUUGAGAUGGAUUGGCCAGAAUUCUUCACGCGCCACUUGGCAAACACUAGGAUCGAGCGAGCUAAACUGGGAGGAGUUCUAUAA